rnacentral:misc_RNA from 1 species
UAGUUCUAUAUAGGUUACAAGUUAGGUUUAUGCAUAAUACACAAAAUACCAUGUACUUCUUUUAACACAUAACCAAUCCAUAGAGUGCAAUCUUCAGUUUAACACCAGAAGUAUCCAUACUGGAGCUACCUUGAUAUCUUCUUAAUAUCACCAUCAUAAAUAAACAUUUCAUGUGAUUGGAAACAACUCGUCGAAGGAUCAGAAUAAUAAAGUUUCAGUUUGUGAAACAUUACUCCACUGAAUAGCUGUUACUCAGUUCAUUGAUGGAAUCAAAUAGUUGAAAUUAACCAGUAGAAACACUCAUUCUGGCCCUGCUGAUGAAAGCUUCCAUGAGAAGUAGUAGCUCUCACUAUAUGGAAUAGACUUCCUCAUGAUGCAUCUUAGAUAAUUAGUGUGUGUGAGAUCUACUGCAUAUAUGUUUUUG